rnacentral:rRNA from 1 species
CCUACGGGAGGCUGCAGUGGGGGAUAUUGCACAAUGGGGGGAACCCUGAUGCAGCGACGCCGCGUGGGUGAAGGAGCGUUUCGGCGCGUAAAGCCCUAUCGGCAGGGAAGAAGAUGACGGUACCUGACCAAGAAGACCCGGCUAACUACGUGCCAGCAGCCGCGGUAAUACGGGGGGUGCAAGCGUUGUCCGGAAUCAGUGGGCGUAAAGAGUUCGUAGGUGGCACGUUAAGUCUGGUGUUAAAGGCGGAAGCUCAACUUCCGUAGGGCACUGGAUACUGGCGAGCUUGAAUGCGGUAGAGGUAAAGGGAAUUCCUGGUGUAGCGGUGAAAUGCGUAGAUAUCAGGAGGAACAUCGGUGGCGUAAGCGCUUUACUGGGCCGUAAUUGACACUGAGGAACGAAAGCCGGGGUAGCAAAUGGGAUUAGAUACCCUGGUAGUC